rnacentral:rRNA from 1 species
UAAUUGAAGAGUUUGAUCAUGGCUCAGAUUGAACGCUGGCGGCAGGCUUAACACAUGCAAGUCGAGCGGUAGCACAGGAGAGCUUGCUCUCUGGGUGACGAGCGGCGGACGGGUGAGUAAUGUCUGGGAAACUGCCUGAUGGAGGGGGAUAACUACUGGAAACGGUAGCUAAUACCGCAUAACGUCGCAAGACCAAAGAGGGGGAC